AUGACGAAGUUGCAACGACGACAGAUAUGUUCGUUGAUUCUCGCAAUAGUGAAAGACAAUAAGGUAAAGCAUUUCAUGAAACUAUCAUAUUGCGGGUUUGGUUAUGCUGAUUUUGCAGGCAAAGUAUUUCAGCCAAACUUCAUGCCUUUUCCUUUAGGGACUAUAUUUGAUAAGUACAUCACAAAUAUUAAGCUUAUUUGCCUUUCUGUUGGCUGUGUUAUGCUGAUUUUAUAA